UCAGUAACACGUGUCCAACCUAACUCGUGGACGUGGAUAUCUCGGGAAACUGAGGAUAACCACGAUAGAUAACGGUGCCUGGAAUGGCCCAUUGUCAAAACAGUUUACUGCCACGGGAUGGGACUGCGGCCUAUCAGCUUGUUGGUGAGGUAAUGGCCCACCAAGGCUUAUAACAGGUACGGGCUCUGAGAGGAGAAGCCCGGAGAUGGGUACUGAGACACGGACCCAGGCCCUAUGGGGCGCAGCAGGCGAGAAAACCUUAGCAAUGUGCGAAAGCACGACUGGGUCAGUCCGAGUGAUUUCUGAUAAAGGAGUCUUUUGCCCGUCCUUAAAAGGCACGGGUGAAUAAGGGGUGGGCAAGUCU
rnacentral:rRNA from 1 species